GCAAACUUGGUCAUUUAGAGGAAGUAAAAGUCGUAACAAGGUUUCCGUAGGUGAACCUGCGGAAGGAUCAUUAAUGAAAUUCUUGAAUCGUGGUUGUAGCUGGCCCGUAAAAACGGCAUGUGCACGCCACCUUUCACUAAUCCACACACACCUGUGCACCUUCGCGGGGGCUUCUGGGAGCACGACGUCAAGUCGUUAGUACCGGGAGCUCGCGUCCCUUUACACACCCCAUUGUAUGUCUUAAGAAUGUCUACUCGAUGUAAUAAAACGCAUCUAAUACAACUUUCAACAACGGAUCUCUUGGCUCUCGCAUCGAUGAAGAACGCAGC
rnacentral:misc_RNA from 1 species